CUUUAUUGGAGAGUUUGAUCCUGGCUCAGGACGAACGCUGGCGGCAUGCCUAAUACAUGCAAGUCGAGCGGACUUGAAGAGA
rnacentral:rRNA from 3 species